CAGUUGUGAGAGACGUUUUAGAAAAAAAAAUUCUGAUUGAUUUUUGACGAAGUGUAUGUUUUUGUGGAACGUACACAAACCUUUUGUUGAGAGCUAUUUUUGAAUGUUGAUGUGAAUGUAGAGAUAUAUAGCACUAAUUAUGUUUUCAAUUGGAAAACGAAUUAUAUUGGCAAUACAUUAAAAAAUUGUCUUUAUUUGAGCUAAUCCGACAACCUGAAUAUUAAUUAGAUCAGCUCAUAAAAUAUAGAA